GCUGCGAUGGCCGAGUGCUAAAGACGUUGGACUUGAAAUCCAAUGGAGAUUCCCCACACUGGUUCGAACCCUGCUCGCAGCG